AAAGCGCACGCAGGCGGUUUGUUAAGUCAGAUGUGAAAUCCCCGAGCUUAACUUGGGAACUGCAUUUGAAACUGGCAAGCUAGAGUCUUGUAGAGGGGGGUAGAAUUCCAGGUGUAGCGGUGAAAUGCGUAGAGAUCUGGAGGAAUACCGGUGGCGAAGGCGGCCCCCUGGACAAAGACUGACGCUCAGGUGCGAAAGCGUGGGGAGCAAACAGGAUUAGAUACCCUAGU
rnacentral:rRNA from 1 species